rnacentral:rRNA from 1 species
AUUGAACGCUGGCGGCAUGCCUUACACAUGCAAGUCGAACGGCAGCACGGGGGCAACCCUGGUGGCGAGUGGCGAACGGGUGAGUAAUACAUCGGAACGUGUCCUGUAGUGGGGGAUAGCCCGGCGAAAGCCGGAUUAAUACCGCAUACGCUCUACGGAGGAAAGGGGGGGAUCUUAGGACCUCCCGCUACAGGGGCGGCCGAUGGCAGAUUAGCUAGUUGGUGGGGUAAAGGCCUACCAAGGCGACGAUCUGUAGCUGGUCUGAGAGGACGACCAGCCACACUGGGACUGAGACACGGCCCAGACUCCUACGGGAGGCAGCAGUGGGGAAUUUUGGACAAUGGGCGAAAGCCUGAUCCAGCAAUGCCGCGUGUGUGAAGAAGGCCUUCGGGUUGUAAAAGCACUUUUGUCCCGGAAAAGAAAAACGCCGUGGUUAAUAACCCCU